CUGUGUCCUUCGACGCCGGUUCACCGCCUGUCGGUGCCAACUGGCGUUUUGCGGGACGUCCUGUCGGUGGCGCGCUAAGGAUCUUUGUUGUGCUUCGGGUUAUACCUGUAGCCGGCACUGGUUCUGGGCCGCUUUCAUAAUCCCGCCGCGGUGCUCUUAAUCGAGUGUCGAGGCGGGCCGGCACGUUUACUUUGAACAAAUUAGAGUGCUUCAAGCAGGCUCUUCAUGCCUGUAUACUGUGUGCAUGGAAUAAUGGAAUAGGACCUCGGUUCUAUUUUGUUGGUUUCCGGAAUCUGAGGUAAUGAUCAAUGGGGACAGGCGGGGGCAUUCGUAUUGCGACGUUAGAGGUGAAAUUCUUGGAUCGUCGCAAGACGGACCGAAGCGAAAGCAUUUGCCAAGUAUGUUCCCGUCGAUCAAGAACGAAAGUUAGAGGUUCGAAGGCGAUCAGAUACCGCCCUAGUUCUAACCAUAAACAAUGCCUGCCAGCGAUCCGCCGGCGUCCCUCCGAUGACCCGGCGGGCAGCUUCCGGGAAACCAGAGCUUUUGGGUUCCGGGGGAAGUAUGGUUGCAAAGCUGAAACUUAAAGGAAUUGACGGAAGGGCACCACCAGGAGUGGAGCCUGCGGCUUAAUUUGACUCAACACGGGAAAACUCACCAGGCCCGGACACCGGAAGGAUUGACAGAUUGAUAGCUCUUUCUUGAUUCGGUGGGUGGUGGUGCAUGGCCGUUCUUAGUUGGUGGAGCGAUUUGUCUGGUUAAUUCCGAUAACGAACGAGACUCUAGCCUACUAACUAGACGUAUCUGGUAUCAGCAAUCGUGCUACCAGCGAUCAUAUCUCUUCUUAGAGGGACAGGCGGCUUCUAGCCGCACGAGACUGAGCAAUAACAGGUCUGUGAUGCCCUUAGAUGUCCUGGGCCGCACGCGCGCUACACUGAAGGAAUCAGCGUGUCUUCCCUGUCCGAAAGGACCGGGUAACCCGCUGAACCUCCUUCGUGCUUGGGAUUGGGGCUUGCAAUUGUUCCCCAUGAACGAGGAAUUCCCAGUAAGCGCGAGUCAUAAGCUCGCGUUGAUUACGUCCCUGCCCUUUGUACACACCGCCCGUCGCUACUACCGAUUGAAUGAUUUAGUGAGGUCUUCGGACCGGUGCGCGGAGGCGGUUUACCGCUCCCGAUGUUGUCGGAAAGAUGACCAAACUUGAUCAUU
rnacentral:rRNA from 1 species